rnacentral:lncRNA from 1 species
UGUGACGUUUUUCUGAACUUCUCCGAUCGUUCGAGCUUCCAUAAUACCAUCCGGACUUCUCUGAUAAUGGGCUCCUCCAUUCAUCUACCAGACUUCUCCAAACACUCUCCGAGCUUCACUAUCAAUCAAUUUUCUAUAGUGAUCGACUAUUCUCCGAAUCUCUUCCGAACUUCUACCGGCCAUGAACGACCUUACUCCAAACUUCUUCCAGACUUCAUCAAUGUCCGAGCUUCUCCAAAAGAAGGACUUCUACAGUAAUCAGACUCCAUCCAAGUUUCUACAGUGAUCGAUCACCUUCCGAAUUUCAUCCGAGCUCCUACAAGAGCCAGACCUCUACUCUGAACUUCUAUUGCAAGUGGACUUCAUCCGAGCUCCUAUAAGAGCCGGGCUCCAUCCGAACUUCUACAGUGGAUGGAUCACAGACAAACUUCUACAAUGGAUAGGCUCCACCAGUAGGAUCUCUACUCCAAACUUCUUUCGAACUUCAUCAAUGACCUAGCUUCUCCCGGAACUUCUACAAUAAGAAGUCUCCAUCCAAGCUUCCACGGC